GGGUCAGUAGGUUGGUCGUGCCACUGGUACGUACUGGUCUCACUGAUUCCUCCUUCCUGAAGAACCGUAAUGCCAUUAAUUUGGUGUUGCGGGGAAACAGGACUGUUACUUUGAAAAAACUAGAGUGUUUAAAGCAAGCUAACGCUUGAAUACAUUAGCAUGGAAUAAUGAAAUAGGACGAUCGAUCCUAUUUUGUUGGUUUCUAGGAUUGACGUA
rnacentral:rRNA from 1 species